AAAUUAUUAUAAAAAACACAGCAAAUCAUUUCAUAUCAUGGGAAAGUUAUAAAAUAAUUCUUAAGAAUGAUUGGCAUAAUCAAUGUCGGGAACA